UUGAAUCCGGCUGGACCACCAGCCAAGGCUAAAUAUAAUAUACGAUCGAUAGUGAACUAGUACAGCGAUGGAAAGGUGAAAAGAACCCCGGGAGGGGAGUGAAAUAGAACCUGAAAUUGUGUGCCUACAAGGAGUCGGAGCAGUGCUUGCACUGUGACGGCGUGCUUUUUGUAGAACGAUCCAGCGAGUUAAUUUCAUGCGCCAGGUUAAGUCAAGUGACGGAGCCACAGUGAAAGCGAGCCUGAAUAGGGCGAUAAGUGUAUGGGAUUAGACCCGAAACCGGGUGACCUAACCAUGAGCAGGUUGAAGCUGCGGUAACACGCAGUGAAGGACCGAACCAGUUUGCGCAGUAAAGCAUUUGGAUGACUUGUGGUUAGCGGUGAAAUGCCAAUCGAACUCGGAGAUAGCUGGUUCUCCUCGAAAUAGCUUUAGGGCUAGCGUCAUGUAAUAUAGCCAACGGGGGUAGAGCUCUGUAAACGACUGGGGCGGGCAACUGUACCCACCGUUAACAAACUACGAAUACCGUUGGUGGUACCAUGGCAGUUAGAACAUCGGGGCUAAGCUCGGUGCUCAAAAGGGAAACAGCCCAGACCAUCAUCUAAGGUCCCUAAAUUAACACUAAGUGGGAAACAAGGUGAAAUUUCUUAAACAGCGAGGAUGUUGGCUUAGAAGCAGCCAUUCAUUUAAAGAGUGCGUAACAGCUCACUCGUCAAGAGAUUUUGCGUGGAAAAUGUAACGGGGCUAAAGUGUUAUACCGAAGAUAUGGAUUUCGUUAUUCCUACGGGUUUAACGGAGUGGUAGAGGAGCGUUCCUAUCGGCAGUGAAGCUCAAUCGUAAGGUUGGGUGGAGCGUUAGGAAGUGAGAAUGCUGGAAUGAGUAACCAUAAGAAAGGUGAGAAUCCUUUCGGCCGUAAGAGCGAGGUUUCCAGGGCUACUGUAAUAAUCCCUGGGUUAGUCGGGCCUAAGCCGAGGCGUAGCAGCGUAGGCGAUGGACAUCAGGUUAAUAUUCCUGAACCGGUUAUAAUUUGUAUACUGUGUACGGUAAAUUAGUCGAAGCGGAUUAUUGGUAUAUAUCCGUCCAACUUAGCGGGAACGCAAAAGGAGUGAAAGUUAAUCUACGGAUUAACGAUUUUGAUGAAAGUACUGGCUAGAAAAGCAGAUAUACGCGUGGUUAUAGCCGCCCGUACCGCAAACCAACACAGGUGCUCGAGUCGAGUAGACUCAGGCUUACGAGAGACCCUUCGCUAAGGAACUCGGCAAAACAGCGACCGUAACUUCGGGAUAAGGUCUGCCUCCGCAUCAUUCGAUGCGAGUCGUGUUUCAAGCAAUUAGGUUAAGAUUAAUGGUAUAUAUGAGUAUCUUAAACUUCUUUACCGAGAUAGAACAAGUCAAAUGGCUUAGCUUGGAACGUGGCAAACUCGUAUCAAACGAUGCGGAGGCCGCAGCAAAAGAGCCCACGGAACUGUUUACCAAAAACACAGGUCUCUGCGAACACGAAAGUGGAUGUAUAGGGGCUGACUCCUGCCCAGUGCUGGAAGGUUAAGGGGAGUGCUUUACGGUGCGAACUGAAGCCCCAGUGAACGGCGGCGGUAACUAUAACCGUCCUAAGGUAGCGAAAUUCCUUGUCAGGUAAGUUCUGACCCGCACGAAUGGAGUAAUCAUGUGGGCACUGUCUCGGCGAAGGACUCGGUGAAAGUGCAUUGGCGGUAAAGAUGCCGUCUGUCCAUGCCAGGACGAGAAGACCCCAUGGAGCUUUACUACAGCUUUACAUUGACACGGGUUACAUCAUGUGUAGCAUAGGUGGGAGGCUUUGAAACAGAUACGCCAGUAUUUGUGGAGCCACAGGUGAAAUACCACCCUUGAUGUAGUCUUUGUCUUACCAUUGCCGUUAUCCGGUAAUGGGACCGUGUAUGGUGGGUAGUUUAACUGGGGCGGUUGCCUCCUAAAGAGUAGCGGAGGCGUUCAAAGGUUGGCUA
rnacentral:rRNA from 1 species